ACCAUUCUACUUGAUGUCUCUAUGAAUCUGACUACUCUAGGUACCUCAGAUGAGUGGAAUUAUGCAGUAUUUGUCCUUUCAUGUGUACAACUAAUUUGACAGGCAGUAUGAUAAGGAACAAUCUGAAUGACACGUAAACAGGAGGGGGUAAAUUCCAAGCACAGCCUGAAUGAGAAGUAUAACUCAUUUCCCGUAACCUAGAUGCCUUUUUAACACAUCUAUGCAGUCUCCAUGUGAAACCAGGUGCUGUUCCCAAAGGAGAAAACACUGCCCUCCAGUGGUCUUCAAUGAAGAAAUGGAAAUAGUUUCAGGUGGAAACCAGGCUUCUUGGAAGAAUUCAAACUAUGCCAAAUGGUCUGAUUUCACCAUAGAGAUUCUUUGCUGAAGAAUGCAGCUGUAUUAAAGGAAGAAAGAAAACCAAGCUACAGCUCCUUAUAAUUCAACAAGCAUGUAAAAGGUUUAUAAAGAUGGUGCAAUUAUGUAUUUAAGCUGCUUCAACACAAGUUCUUGCCUUUCACUCCCACCCUGUGGCUUACACUGGUAUUACAUCUAUUCUGACAUUUAAAAAUCAACAUUAAAGAACAUGUUAUAAUAAUGUAUUCUAUGGUUUAAAUAUUUAAAAAAUUUUACAUCAUACCUAGAAAGUGUUGUGUACUUUCUAAAGCUUAUAAACUGAAAAGCCCAGAGAUCUGAAGAAUCCUAAUACAGAAUCAUAAGUUAUAAUUCAUCCAAAAUUGUAUAGUUCUUAAAUUUCAAAUCCAAACCAGUGGACAUCUGUCUUUAGUGACAUUUAGAUUUUAUUCAAUUAAGGUCAUUGUAGCUAUUAUAAAUGGAAGAUUUUACUUCAUUGUGUCUUAUCACUUAAGUACCUCACUCUUGCUUUUCAAAAGAUUUCUUUCAAUUUCUUCAGUCUUAUUUGUUCUCUAAGACAAAGACUUGAUUUCAGUUUGUUUUUCUUAAAAUUAAUAUCUUCUCCAAUUUAUUUCCCAGUUUUUUCUAAAUAAAUAUUUUAAAUAUAUACAGAGUAUUAUUUUUAUAUCUCAGAAUUAGUAAAAUAAAAUCUUGCCAAUACGAA
rnacentral:antisense_RNA from 1 species